AGGAAACGCUCCUGUAAUUUGUUUCCCACAGGGUAACUAUAGAGACAUGUGACUGGUUUAUUGUAUUUCUUCGGAGAAUCAGUGUGGUAGGAUGGAUUGAAGCCAUCACCGUUGCCCAAGGUCUCUCCAAUGUCUGGCUAUGAUGCUUCUGGCUGCUGAGAGUAGAAUUAAAAGGGGCGCAGAAGCACUCACCUGGAAGAAUAGAACUGAAGAUGCAAAGGACCAGCCC